ACGAGUCCCAAACAAGACGAAACGCGCGUCCUGGAU
rnacentral:hammerhead_ribozyme from 1 species